AGAGUUUGCAAAUGAGUAUAUCAAAGAGACUCCCUCCUGUACUUAUGAAAGUAUUGAGUUGAGGUUUCACUAUUCCUCAAGUCUUUCUUCCCCCUGCCCAUGCUCCUGUUUCUUAUAUAUGACAUUAAGGAAGAAUCAUGGCAACACAUCUAAAACCUUCAAGUCUGGCCAUGGGAACACAGGAAGUAGAUAGUGUAGUACAGAUAUCAAAUGUGAAUAGAGAAAAGAAUUGUAUACUCCAUGUGGUCCUUUGCUUUAUUGAUGUUGGUAAUUUUUGAAUAACAUAAGGAUUUGGGAAUUUAUAAUUGAAGUAGGUACACCAUAUUUACACUGUUAUUCUCAGUCUAUAGAUGGGCCCACUUUGUUUCCAAAAUCAUAGCAGAGAAUGGAAUUUGAAAACAGAAUUUUUGAGUACAUAUUCAGGAAUAUUUAUAAUGUCCCCUAUGAAGGAAUGUACAAUAGGAAAGUGAAAUACAAUAUUCAUUCAACGAAAGGUGUGUAGGUAAAGUACUGGCCUUUAUAAAAUUAAGAAAACCUAGAAAAUUGAACUGUAUGUCACAGGAAUUGACCUGGGAAUAAAAAUAUUAUCCAGAAGAAUCUCCUCCACUCCAAGUUCCUAAAAAAUUUCUAUCCAUGCCAUGCCCCUGACUCAUUUUCUCCAUUCAGAAGUCACUAGCUUUAGAGAGAUGGAGAACGAAAGUUUCCACUGUGUCACAGGAGACAUACCUAAAUUGGCACCCUCAAAACUGGUUAAUGUAAGGAAAGCUGUUUAGAGUCAGGCCAUGGCAGUUCUCAGUGACAAUAUCAUUAGGCUCUCCCUGAAAAAUCUCUUGUAUCCUUGAGAGCACUAGCUUCUUCUGUGAUGUAAUAAGUGUUGUCCUGACUGCAAAUGCCUCUCAGAUAUUACUUCAGUACCUAUAGGUUUUACUAAUUGGCCUCAAAUUCAGGGGAAACAGUCAUUAGGGAGGGAGAACAAAGACGAUGAAGAAAUCAGAGAUGGGGAGAACGAAGCUGGUCUUCUGUCUUGGUAUAAAAGAAGGAAGAAAUACAUCAUCCCUGAGAAAUCUCACUGAAGCCUUGGUAGGAGUGGAAUAUGAAAAAUAGUCCUGAGGAAGGAGGGACAACAAGUAUUGUAUCGUCAUGUCAUCUCAAGAAAAACUCUCAAAACUCAUCCUGGCUGACAAUGUAGAUUAGACGCAUCAGAUGAAAUGAAUUGAAAAACUCUCCUGGGAAUGAAAGUGGUAAGGAAAUCACAUUGAUGUAUCCUAAAUGCAGUGCUAAGAGCAAUAUUCAGACUAGUCUGUGGAGAUGCUGCUGUCAUCAGAGACCACAGACAAUUAGUGGAGAAUGAUUCAGCAUUAAACUGGGAAUGGAAGAUGAUGGUUGAUAUUGUUCUAGUAGAUCUCACUACAUUAAAAAGUGUUUCUUCCAGAUAACUGAAUGAUUAUUGUAAAGCAAAUCCCGGAAUGAACUUAUGAGACCCACCAUCAGCCUGUCAAAUAAUGUGCGAAAGAAGAAAUCUGUGUCUCUCCAGGGACAAAUUGUUGCUUUCAAACCAACAGUAAAGUGUCCAUUCUAUGAA